rnacentral:rRNA from 1 species
AUUGAACGCUGGCGGCAUGCUUUACACAUGCAAGUCGAGCGGCAGCGCGGGGGCAACCCUGGCGGCGAGCGGCGAACGGGUGAGUAAUGCAUCGGAACGUACCCUGGAGUGGGGGGAUAACGCCGCGAAAGCGGCGCUAAUACCGCAUAUGCUCUGAGGAGGAAAGUGGGGGACCGCAAGGCCUCACGCUCUGGGAGCGGCCGAUGUCUGAUUAGCUAGUUGGUGGGGUAAAGGCUUACCAAGGCGACGAUCGGUAGCUGGUCUGAGAGGAUGAUCAGCCACACUGGGACUGAGACACGGCCCAGACUCCUACGGGAGGCAGCAGUGGGGAAUUUUGGACAAUGGGGGCAACCCUGAUCCAGCCAUGCCGCGUGAGUGAAGAAGGCCUCGGUUGUAAGA